rnacentral:rRNA from 1 species
UACGAAGGGGGCUAGCGUUGCUCGGAAUCACUGGGCGUAAAGCGCACGUAGGCGGACUCUUAAGUCAGGGGUGAAAUCCUGGAGCUCAACUCCAGAACUGCCUUUAAGACUGCAUCGCUUGAAUCCAGGAGAGGUGAGUGGAAUUCCGAGUGUAGAGGUGAAAUUCGUAGAUAUUCGGAAGAACACCAGUGGCGAAGGCGACUCGCUGGACAAGUAUUGACGCUGAGGUGCGAAAGCGUGGGGAGCAAACAGG